AGUGAACGCUGGCGGUAGGCCUAACACAUGCAAGUCGAACGGCAGCACAGUAAGAGCUUGCUCUUACGGGUGGCGAGUGGCGGACGGGUGAGGAAUACAUCGGAAUCUACUUUUUCGUGGGGGAUAACGUAGGGAAACUUACGCUAAUACCGCAUACGACCUACGGGUGAAAGCAGGGGAUUUUCGGACCUUGCGCGAUUGAAUGAGCCGAUGUCGGAUUCGCUAGUUGGCGGGGUAAAGGCCCACCAAGGCGACGAUCCGUAGCUGGUCUGAGAGGAUGAUCAGCCACACUGGAACUGAGACACGGUCCAGACUCCUACGGGAGGCAGCAGUGGGGAAUAUUGGACAAUGGGCGCAAGCCUGAUCCAGCCAUACCGCGUGGGUGAAGAAGGCCUUCGGGUUGUAAAGCCCUUUUGUUGGGAAAGAAAAGCAGCAGGUUAAUACCCCGCUGUUCUGACGGUACCCAAUGAAUAAGCACCGGCUAACUUCGUG
rnacentral:rRNA from 1 species